ensembl:lncRNA
CAGGUCUAAACCAGGACUAAACCAGGUCUAAACCAGGACUAAACCAGGACUAAACCAGGACUAAACCUGGACUAAACCAGGUCUAAACCAGGUCUAAACCAGGUCUAAACCAGGUCUAAACCAGGUCUAAACUUGGACUAAACCAGGACUAAACCAGGUCUAAACCAGGUCUAAACCAGGUCUAAACUUGGACUAAACCAGGACUAAACCAGGUCUAAACCAGGUCUAAACCAGGUCUAAACCAGGUCUAAACUUGGACUAAACCAGGACUAAACCAGGUCUAAACCAGGUCUAAACCAGGUCUAAACUUGGACUAAACCAGGACUAAACCAGGUCUAAACCAGGUCUAAACCAGGUCUAAACUUGGACUAAACCAGGACUAAACCAGGUCUAAACUUGGACUAAACUUGGACUAAACCAGGUCUAAACCAGGACUAAACCAGGACUAAACCAGG